rnacentral:rRNA from 1 species
GAUGAACGCUGGCGGCGUGCCUAACACAUGCAAGUCGAACGUGAGGGGGUAGCAAUAUCCUUGAAAGUGGCGCACGGGUGAGUAAUACGUAGGUGACCUGCCCUGGAGUGGGGGAUAACAGCUAGAAAUGGCUGCUAAUACCGCAUAAUACGAGAAUGCUGGGAAGUGUUCUGGUAAAAACUCUGGUGCUUCAGGAGGGGCCUGCGGCCGAUUAGCUAGUUGGCGGGGUAAGAGCCCACCAAGGCAGUGAUCGGUAGCUGGUCUGAGAGGACGAUCAGCCACACGGGAACUGAGACACGGUCCCGACUCCUACGGGGGGCAGCAGUGAGGAAUAUUGGGCAAUGGGCGGAAGCCUGACCCAGCAACGCCGCGUGGAGGAAGACGGCCUUCGGGUUGUAAGCUCCUUUUACGGGGGAAGAGGAAGGACGGUACCCCGAGAAUAAGUCACGGCUAACUACGUGCCAGCCGCCGCGGUAAUAC